rnacentral:rRNA from 1 species
GACGAAAGCUGGCGGCGUGCCUAAUACAUGCAAGUAGAACGCUGAAGAGAGGAGCUUGCUCUUCUUGGAUGAGUUGCGAACGGGUGAGUAACGCGUAGGUAACCUGCCUGGUAGCGGGGGAUAACUAUUGGAAACGAUAGCUAAUACCGCAUGACAUUGAUUAUCGCAUGAUAAUUAAUUGAAAGAUGCAAUUGCAUCACUACCAGAUGGACCUGCGUUGUAUUAGCUAGUUGGUGAGGUAACGGCUCACCAAGGCGACGAUACAUAGCCGACCUGAGAGGGUGAUCGGCCACACUGGGACUGAGACACGGCCCAGACUCUACGGGAGGCAGCAGUAGGGAAUCUUCGGCAAUGGGGGGAACCCUGACCGAGCAACGCCGCGUGAGUGAAGAAGGUUUUCGGAUCGUAAAGCUCUGUUGUAAGAGAAGAACGGGUGUGAGAGUGGAAA